rnacentral:pre_miRNA from 1 species
UGUGCACUGGUGGGGUCCCUCGGCCUGGCCUGCGUCCUCUCGCAACCUGGGACCCCUUGGGGGAUGUCAGAGAGCCAGUUUCAGCCCAAUCUGCACAGGCCAGGCCGAGGGACCCCACCGGUGCACG